UACGUAGGGGGCGAGCGUUGUCCGGAGUACUGGGCGUAAAGCGCACGCAGGCGGUCUGCUAAGUUUGGAGUGACAGUUGGUGGCUUAACUGCCAAAGUGCUUCGAAAACUGACAGACUUGAGGGCUUCAGAGGGACACGGAAUUCCGGGUGGAGUGGUGAAAUGCGUAGAGAUCCGGAGGAACACCGGUGGCGAAGGCGGCGAUCUGGGUCGAUACUGACGCUGAGGUGCGAAAGCGUGGGGAGCAAACAGG
rnacentral:rRNA from 1 species